GACGAACGCUGGCGGCGUGCCUAAUACAUGCAAGUCGAGCGAGCUUGCCUAUUGAAAUUCUUCGGAAUGGACAUAGAUACAAGCUAGCGGCGGAUGGGUGAGUAACGCGUGGGUAACCUGCCCUUAAGUCUGGGAUACCAUUUGGAAACAGAUGCUAAUACCGGAUAAAAGCUACUUUCGCAUGAAAGAAGUUUAAAAGGCGGCGUAAGCUGUCGCUAAAGGAUGGACCUGCGAUGCAUUAGCUAGUUGGUAAGGUAACGGCUUACCAAGGCGAUGAUGCAUAGCCGAGUUGAGAGACUGAUCGGCCACAUUGGGACUGAGACACGGCCCAAACUCCUACGGGAGGCAGCAGUAGGGAAUCUUCCACAAUGGACGCAAGUCUGAUGGAGCAACGCCGCGUGAGUGAAGAAGGUUUUCGGAUCGUAAAGCUCUGUUGUUGGUGAAGAAGGAUAGAGGCAGUAACUGGCCUUUAUUUGACGGUAAUCAACCAGAAAGUCACGGCUAACUACGUGCCAGCAGCCGCGGUAAUACGUAGGUGGCAAGCCGUUGUCCGGAUUUAUUGGGCG
rnacentral:rRNA from 1 species